rnacentral:rRNA from 1 species
AUUUGUCUGGUUAAUUCCGAUAACGAACGAGACCUUAACCUGCUAACUAGAUCCAAUUAUCCGAUUUUUGCGAUCUUCUUAGAGGGACUAUGUAAUAAAAAUACAUGGAAGUUUGAGGCAAUAACAGGUCAGUGAUGCCCUUAUAUGUCCUGGGCUGCACGCGUGCUACACUGAUGCAUACAACAAGUGCCUAACCAGACAUGGUAUGGUAAUCUCUAAUAUGCAUCGUGAUGGGGAUAGAUCUUUGCAAUUAUAGAUCUUGAACGAGGAAUUCCUAGUAAGUGCAAGUCAUCAUCUUGCAUUGAUUAUGUCCCUGCCCUUUGUACACACCGCCCGUCGCUCCUACCGAUACCGGGUGAUCCGGUGAACCUUUUGGACUCAUUUGGGAAAGAUAAGUAAACCAUAUCACCUAGAGGAAGGAGAAGUCGUAACAAGGUUUCCGUAGGUGAACCUGCRGAAGGAUCA